CCGCUGUUAAUGAUAACCAUGAUUUUACUUACCAGCAUCUUCGCGAGUCAGACAUCAGAGCUAAGGGUACAGUUGCCAGACAAAUGACAGUACUUAAAAAGAAGUACUUCAUGAUAACCACCAAGAAGACAAAUCUGUGGCCUGUCAAACUUGAGGACCGUAUGAAAGUUAGUGAAUAGUGACAUUAUCGCAUUGUGCCACCAGAAAAGAGAUGUGCCAGUUCAUCAGUAGUGGGGCUACCAGCUAAAUCAAUUUUUGGCUAAAAGCCAAUAGGAAGACUUUGUUUUAACAAUAAUGUAACUGGAGAAAUUGCUACUAGCAUGGCUGAAGUAGUUAGAAAAUAGAUUGAUUCUUCAUAUUGUGUGAUUUGUUGUCACAGAAAAA